UCCGGCUUAUCACCGGCGGUUUCCUUAGAGUUCCCAACUAAAUGAUGGCAACUAAGGACGAGGGUUGCGCUCGUUGCGGGACUUAACCCAACAUCUCACGACACGAGCUGACGACAGCCAUGCAGCACCUGUCACCGGUCCAGCCGAACUGAAGGAAUCCAUCUCUGGAAUCCGCGACCGGCAUGUCAAACGCUGGUAAGGUUCUGCGCGUUGCAUCGAAUUAAAGAACAUGCUCCGCUGCUUGUGCGGAGGAAGGUGGGGAUGACGUUGACGUCAUAACC
rnacentral:misc_RNA from 1 species